rnacentral:rRNA from 1 species
GAUGAACGCUGGCGGCGUGCUUAACACAUGCAAGUCGAACGGAGAAUUGAAGCUUGCUUUAAUUCUUAGUGGCGGACGGGUGAGUAACGCGUGGGUAACCUGCCCUUAAGUGGGGGACAACAGUUGGAAACGACUGCUAAUACCGCAUAAAGUUGAGAAUCUGCAUGGAUUUUCAACCAAAGGAGUAAUCCGCUUUUGGAUGGACCCGCGUCUGAUUAGCUAGUUGGUGAGGUAACGGCUCACCAAGGCGACGAUCAGUAGCCGGCCUGAGAGGGUGAUCGGCCACACUGGGACUGAGACACGGCCCAGGCUCCUACGGGAGGAAGCAGUGGGGAAUCUUCCGCAAUGGACGAAAGUCUGACGGAGCAACGCCGCGUGAGGGAUGAAGGCCUUCGGGUUGUAAACCUCUGUCUUCAGGGAAGAAAAAAAUGACGGUACCUGAGGAGGAAGCCCCGGCUAACUACGUGCCAGCAGCCGCAGUAA